AAACAUGAACUAGGGACUAUAUGGUUAUUUGCUGCUCACUUUAUGUUUACAUCUCCCACAUUCAUACCAGUAUACAUCAGGUUUGCUUAACCAUUGAUUUCUUUUUUUUUUUUUUUACCAAGUCUUUUGAUUUUACCAUCUCUCAUACAUAUAUCUUAGUUAUUUCAGACUUUUUUUGAAUAUUACGUCAAACUGUAGUGCCACCUAGUGUUUAUGCAAUUUAUGUGGCACACCCUUUCCAAGAAUUAAAGUGAUAAAAUCGUUGUUAUAUUGGUGAAUAUGUUAAAGUAGAAAAGAAAUACUCUUUCAUAAUUUUUUCAUAUCGGUGGACUCUAGAUAAAUGAAAUUUGUGUCUUGGAUGAAGCUAAACUUCCAACUUCAAGCAAGGAAAGCUUAUUUUCAGUAAGCUUCACCUAGGUAAUGGCUGAAAUGCUUAGUAUUCUACAGACAUCAUGGAAAUGUUUGGAAUUCACAGAGCUUCCCACAAUGUCAAGUCCAAAGUAGCUUCUUAACAGAUACUUAAAAUCAUAGACUGCACGAGCUGAGACAUCCUCGCUGAGUGACUGCAAAGGGCAAUAGUGAAUAGCGGUGAUUAUUUUAAGUCUGCCAUAGAUUAUUUUCACCAGUUUCCUGGUUUGCAGGAUUCCAAACUUUGGAAACACAUCUAAAUAGUCCAAAAGUUGAAGAGGAGAUAAUUUAAGUGAAACAUUUACUUGAAAACAAGACUAUACCAAAGAGAAGAAUUGACACCAAAGUUAACGCUUUAUGGAUAUAGUUCUUUUAGAAAAACAUACCAGAACAUUUACUCCUACUUGCUAAGAAGAAAAUUAAUCACUUAUUCAGAAUGGAUGAUAAACUUCAGCUUAUUUUUAUAUGUCAUCUAAAGCAGGAAGUCUACUUCAUAACCUUCUAACUGUUGUUUACCUCUUACCUUGGUGUUGAUCUUGAUAUUCUUUCAGUUAGAGCACUUUUUUUUUCUUUUUUUUUUUGGACAGGCAGAGUGGACAGUGAGAGAGAGACAGAGAGAAGGUCUUCCUUUGCCGUUGGUUCACCCUCCAAUGGCCGCCUCUGCCAGUGCGCUGAUCUGAUGGCAGGAGCCAGGUACUUCUCCUGGUCUCCCAUGCAGGUGCAGGGCCCAAGGACUUGGGUUAUCCUCCACUGCACUCCCGGGCCAUAGCA
rnacentral:lncRNA from 1 species